ensembl:lncRNA
GCCUUUAACUGUUAUUUGGAUGUCCUCAUCCUGACGGCAGUAUUUGGAAACUACAAUUAUUUAUUUAAAGACCUGGAGAAGUGGAAACGACUGUUAAUCAUUGUUUUGAUGUUGUUUUAAAUUUGGAAAGUAGUCACCAGCAUCUCUUUCAGCUUUAAUAAAUUAAAUGCAUGAAGUUGGACCAUGAAAAAAUACUUAAGUACUUUGACAUUACAGUAUUUAGGUGUGUCAUUGUUCUUACUCAGGAGCUUGAGAGCUCUGACUUCGAUUCUUCCCACGGUCAUAUUUGAGUAGAUCACAAGGCAGUCAGGGCAGCCAGUAUUCAGCAGGACAGCAGACACUCGGUAAGGGUGCACUAUGGACAUGAGCAAAUACACACCAAUUGAUAUAUAUUGAAAGUGUUGUGGCACAAAGUCUAAAUCUGGUCAUACAAAUGUUUGUUCCCUCAGUAAUACUCACAUAUUGUCAUGAUCCUGGGUCCUUUUGACUCAGCGUUUUGUGUUUUCUAUUAUUGUAAUUUUGGUUCUGUUCUUCCUCGGUUAGUGUUCAUUCUUUUCUACCCGUGUAUCCCUGUGUUUAGUCUGUGUCAUUACGUGUAUGUGUUUCCUGUUUUACUUUAAAGGUCUCUGUCUUAUCUUAGUGUGUUCAGUUUACUUUUCCCCUGUCUCGUCAGGUCUGAUUACUCCCAGCUGUGCCCUCCUUUUGUGUCUCAUUCCCUCGUUAUCCUUCUGUGUAUUUAAACCUCGUGUCUGCCUCUGUUAGUUGCUGGUUCGUCUGUGUUGCUCCCCUCCGUCGUUUUGUGUUUUCUAUUAUUGUAAUUUUGGUUCUGUUCUUCCUCGGUUAGUGUUCAUUCUUUUCUACCCGUGUAUCCCUGUGUUUAGUCUGUGUCAUUACGUGUAUGUGUUUCCUGUUUUACUUUAAAGGUCUCUGUCUUAUCUUAGUGUGUUCAGUUUACUUUUCCCCUGUCUCGUCAGGUCUGAUUACUCCCAGCUGUGCCCUCCUUUUGUGUCUCAUUCCCUCGUUAUCCUUCUGUGUAUUUAAACCUCGUGUCUGCCUCUGUUAGUUGCUGGUUCGUCUGUGUUGCUCCCCUCCGUGUUCUCGUGUUUUCCCCCGCAUCUCCGUUUCUCGACCCAAGGUUUCAGGUUUGUUUGUUAGCUCUUCCCAGUUUAGGUUUUUCAGUUCUUGUUCACCUGCCGUUGUUGUUUGUACUCACGUGUGUAAAUAAAGACUCACCUGCACCAGAGCUGCCGCCUUUUGGGUCCUCUCUACAAUCUCCACACGCCUGCCACACCGGGCGUGACACAUAUAGUGAGAGUGUUGUUAACCAAAGUCAAUUUCUCUGUCAAUGUGAAGCACUUGCCCAUCCUUUUAGAAGAUAAAAUUAGAGAGAUUUUUACAUUAAUAUUAUUUGAAAACAGUGUCAGUUCAGGAAGAACAUGAUCCUGUUUAUUACUUUUUUUGAAUUUGGAGACUGUGAAAUGUAUCGACUUCACUGGCAGCGGUGAUCUUCGCCCAGGAAUUUUCCAUAAGCGUCUGUACCAGCAUUUUGAAACCAGGUAUGCUUCUACUAUCUCCUAGUAGUACCCAUUUGCCCAGCAGCUGAAACAGACAGUAUUAGGUGUAUAAGACAACAAACAUUUCAUAUCGAAAAUUUUAAAAAAGAAAAAACUAGAGAAAUGACGUAAUAGAGGGUCUGACCUGAUUUCCGUGGAUUUCACGAGGCUGGAUUAGAUUCUCACAGCUUGUCACAGGAGCUGAGUGUCCAAGAGACAGAAGACCGAGCACAGCUACAGCAACGUGAACAAACUCCAUCAUGGCUCAUCUGCUGAUAGUGUGGCUUCAGACUUUAAAUGUGUUUUAGACAUACGAGACUCAGCCCAUUUUAGGUGAAGUAUUGCUCAAUUGUUUACUUAUGUGUUGUAAUUGUACUUAGAAGAACAUAACAGAAAUAUUUACUCUGUGGCAG